GUUUUGGUUUUCAGUGUACAAAAUCAGAUGAGAAAAAUAAAUGUUAUUUUGUUAGCCCGAUUCUUGGAUGCCGAGUAGUGAGGAAUCUCGAGCUGUCCUAGAAGCUUUCUUGAAGACCGACAGUUGGAUUUAAUCCGUUUGCAACCCCUAGGUCGGCCAGGAAGAAAAAAACAAAGCAGAGGCAAUAAAUUUCAAUCUGGAAAGCUUAGGAACCCUUCAACGAAAAAGUCGAGGAGAUUUGUAAUAUAGCUAAAAGAUGGGCUGCCUGUAAGAAAAAAAAACGAAACUACAACGUCAACGAGUGGCAUCCAGAUUGCAUGAAUAGGCACCAGUGGUGAUAACUGUGGACAAGAAGCUGCAUGAGAGAUGGUUGAUGCUAUUCGAAGCGGUCAAGUGGAUGGAUUCUUCGUUGGUCUUCGCAAUCAGAAUGCCACUGCUGAUUUCGGACAAAGAAUGUCCUCUUCACUUGAAGACGAGAAUGUAUAAAAUCAGCGGCUGCAAAAUCUGAGAGUGAAUUUCUAGCACUUGAAAAGCAAAUCUUCCAAUAAUCUACUUAUGUCUUUACCAAAGAAGCAAUACAUUUGGCUAAGGCCGCCAAUAUAAUGUUUGUCGUGCUGAGCAUUUAAAGUUAUGGAUUGCUAAUAUGGAAAAAACUACUUCAUUGUAAUACAAUUUUUGUUGAGUCAAA